rnacentral:lncRNA from 1 species
CACAGCCUCUGCAUCACGCCUAUGAAGCUACCAAGUGACUGCAGCUAGCACGUGAACCAAGGGCGCGUUCUCUGUGUGGCAUGACCAAUAUCGCUGCUACUGGUGGCUUGGGAGGCGACAGAGUGUCCACCUGUUCUGGACAUAUGACAUGAUGCUGCGGUCGUUGUUGUACUGUUGGUUCCUUUAUUAGGGCAUUCUUGGAGUAGGAUUCUAAAGGGUUUGCCUCCAGUCAACAUGACUACCACUAAUUUCCAAUGAUCUUCAUAAGACCUACCGAGAUGCUGUGCUACUCAGCUCCCACUGCUCAUGAUGUGGAAUUGGCGACCGGUAGAAAGAAAUCCUUCAGGACAAAGUCAGGCGAUCAGAAGUUCAUAUUUGAGGAGGAUUCUGGAAAAGUUAUUAUCAGCCAACCGGACGGGAGAGCGCUGCAUCAAGAAUCCCCGAACAAACCAAGGAAUUACAUAGGUUUAGCAGUGGUAGUGCUGAUAUGUUUUAAUCCCCCGUUCGGCAUCAUUGCCAUUCUUUUCUCAGUGAAAUCAAACAAAGACUUUCUGAACGGAAGAUUCGUCACUUCGAGGAGGAAGGGCAAAGCAUCAUGUGUGUUCAGUGUGAUUGGAAUUGUGUCCACUUUAACAACUAUUUUCACUGUUAUCUUUUGGCCAGCGUUCGCUAAUGCUAAGGAUGGCACAUGAUACCAACGUUGAGAAACCAUUUGUAAACAAACUGUACACCGAGGAAGAUGCUUGUGUUCAAAUAAAAGCAAUCGUGGUUGUGAAUUCUAAAUCAAAGAUUGUGAUUUGCAAGAGAGGAUUAUUUUAAGAUGGAUUGAAGGACGUUCGUGGGCGAUAACCAAAUCUCAAAAUACGUCCGUGUAUGACUUUUUCAUGCUCAAAAUGUUUACAUGUAUAUUUUCUGUGUGAUCAAUGUUUUACCUUUCUGCCGGUCAUCAAAAGUAAACACGUGACUAAGAAGCGGGUAAACGGGGAAUAUUUUCUUUCAGUGUGGGUACUCAAGUAUUUUUAACGAAGAUGCUGAAUGUAUGCAGCUAAGCUGUCAUUGUAUGCAUUUCAAACGACGUCGUUGUUCCCCAUCAUUCAUUCCAUAUUGGCGUUUUCGCUCCUUGUCAAGUUUAAUCCUACUGCCAGUGUUUCCCGUCCCCCCUCUGUGAUGUGAUGUGGUGCACUGCUUACAGAAAGCCAUUGUUUAUAAUCCUUUUUGAGUUGUGUUGUGUAAUCCUGCAGUUAACCAACCUAUUUGUUGUUGGGCUUCCAUCAGUGUGCGAGUCUGAAAUGCUGUUUGUAAUCCCGCCUUCUCAUUCCCAUGCACAGCUGGUUAUUGACGCACAUCACUCAGGUUGCUGUUAAAGUGUGUUACAGAGAAAUUGCCCACUCAAAAUUAUAACCGCAGGUGGCCAAAUCGCCUGAUGCAUCGCAUUGAACUUUGUUGAACAUGAAAGCAAAUGUUAUCUGAAGUGUACUGAGAAAACAAUAUGUGAAAUGCUGGACUUAACCGUAGAUAACAUCUACGUGACCUUUUGGGGAUACGACAUUUAGACAACAAGCAGGCAACGCUGAGGGCACCAAUAGUGCACCAAUAGUGCACCCCUCCUCUUCUGGUUCUUUAUGCACACGAAUCGGAAUUUCAGUAUCAAAAAGAAGGGAAUUUGACCAAGAUGCUUAACUUAAGCUAAACACAUAUCGAUAAUCUGAUACCGUUUCAAUAAUGGCCAAAUAGCCAAUUCCUUUUCAUUGAUCUGCCCACCUGAACUAGAUAUAUAAGAGACCAGUGGUACAGCUUCAUCCAUUUGAUAUUUAUACCAAUGUAUGACGAUCCUUAGUGACAACAAAUAUUCACAAGACUGUAUAACAAGAGGGAUUACUUCAACUUUCCAAUAUUCAACUUUCAUACCGAGCGAUAGUCUAGCAGGUCUUUCCUCAUGUGUCUACACAACUGUGUUCACAACUUUUGAGGUACAUUUGAGCAAGCUCAAGAUUUUAAAGAGCGUUUUUCUCAAAAGUUGCUUGAUCAGGGUAACAACAUCCAAGGCCUUACUUUUUUUGGUAGACAUGUGAAGGACAUUUCAAAAUUGUCCCCCUAAAAUAGAUCGAACUUGUGAUACGCCACUCAUUAUUUUGGGUUGUGAUUGUGUGUCUCAAAACCACUGCCUCGUGACAACACGUGCUGUGAGUCAUGCCCCCAUUAUGGCUUCUCAUAGUCUUAAUUGUGUUUUCUGUCUCACCUAGGCCUCAAAAUAGCAAUGAAUGUGUUGAAGCCUGAAUGCAAUUAUUAAUGUUGUGCUCGAAACACAAGAUAUCCGUAGCCUGAGCUUGAACAUAGCUUGAUUUGAUUACCAUAUUCAAGCUAAAAUCGGUUGGUUUUAACAAUAUAUUGUGAAAUGAAUGGGAAUGUGGGCUACAAUCUUAGUGUUGUAAAAACGUUGUUAAAAGGGACGGGAUCUCUGUGCCUGAGUACUUUUAUUGAUAAGUAUUCUAGUACUUGUCUUUCUCAAGUAACCACGUGCCAUUCGGCUUGACCCAAUAAUAGCUAAAUAUUAAAUUUAAUCAAUACUUACCAAGUAUUAGUAUUUUCUGCAUAUUAAUGACCAGGCAGUUUCAGCUAUGACAUUAUCCAUUGCAUGACGUCAAGGCAUUCAUAGCACUUCAGAUUGACGACACGUACAUGUCACAACAAAGGGAGCGCCAUGGAAACUACUGAUUUCUUUGGUAUUUUAAAAUGUUGAUGUACUCAAGAGCGUACGCAAAUCUGAAAACAUAUCUCCCGAGAGCCGUAUUUAAUAAACCCUCUUCAGCUGUUCCACAUUAUCAUCUAUUACAAAUAAGAUGCAACAAAUCGAAUAUGUAUAUACUCUUUUAUGUCUUGCAUACGCCUUUGUAAUUUCAACUUAAGCUGUGAUAAAUAUCAAAGUCAUUUUUUCGUUUCUAUUUGGGUCGAGAUGUCUGUAUAUGUUUAUACUCCAAGAUACAAAUUUUUGCUAAAAAGCUGGAGUGAUAUGACCCGUUCCACAUGCAUAUGGAACAAUGUUUCGUGGAUUUAGAAUUCACAAAUCGGAAGAAAGACAGCACGUUUGUAGCAAUGCUAUGUUUUUAGGUAUAAAAGCCUAAUGUUGCCACUUUGAGUAUAUUUAUCGGGUUUUUUUCAAUUAUUUAAUAUGCUCUUUGGAAAUUCGAUUUUUUAAAAAAUAAACAUGAAAUAACGAGAAACUUUUUGAAAUAACAAGCAAAUAAUCAAAGUGACGAUAAAAAAUUCGAAAUUUCGAGAUUUUGAAAAUUAUUUAUUGGGUCAAUUUACUUACCUUUACUAUGGUGACAUGUAGUGUUAAACCCGUUGCAAUGAUUAGACAGUGAAUCAUAAACACAUGGUUAUGAUAAAAUAGGAAUCCAAAAUGGUGAUGAUGUAAAGGUUUUGGUGACUUACAUUUGUCACUACAUCAAGGAUAGUUUAACAUAUCGGAGUUUAUUUCUUAGAAUCGUCCUGAUUUGUGUUGAAAAUUGUCAAUGUUGUGGACAUAUGCUGUAUUUAGCUCACAGCUUUAGAGCAAGACGUCACUUCCUGGCUUCUAGAUUUGUGUACACAGUUAUAGUUGUAUUUGCUGCAACAACUUAUAAGUGCUAUUUUAGAAGCCGAAGUAACAAUGAAGGCACAGCCGUAGUAACAAUGCUGACACAGCAUUUCACCUUCUUUAUUCUGUCAAUACGACGUUUCUUCACAGAUGCUCGUACCUUUAUCAAGGAAGUAAUUACUCGCUUCAUACAUGCACUAGCAUAUGUACUUUCUAAGUUGACACCUAUUGUAUUGUAUUAAGUACAAUGGUCGCACCAUUCUCUGGAUAUUUAGCAGAUACAAAUGUAGACAUUUUUCAAUAGUUUUUAUUAAUCAUCUAAAUGACAAUUUAUAUCUUUAAAUCAUUGUCAAACGCUGUGUUUAAUCUAGGAAUUCCCUACUGAGUGUAAGCUGUUCAUAUAAUUAUACAUUUUUGACAAAUACAUCAAUCACCAUGUAAGUUCGUUAUUUGAAGUGCACAUGGGUAUAAGAGUUAUUUAAACUACUGGUCAUGUCCUCUGUUACCCUGCGUUCAUGUUCAACGUCAUACAAGUAUUUGUCCACGUAUGGUGCUUUUCACAUGACAGAUCGUGUCCCGACAUACAUAUUUUAGAUUCAAGAUAAAUAAUAUAUUGUCAACAGGUACUCAUAUAUACUUCAGAAUAUUUAUCCAAUGUUAUUUUAUAAUUUUAUAAAUAAAUUGUAUGGAUAUAUUUAUAUAUAUAAAUAUAUAUAUAUAUAUCUCGCAGAAAACACAUCAUAUGAACCUCUACAAAAGGCUUCUAAGUAUAUCGUCAUCAAAAUAUAUAUGUACCUUUAGUUCUUCAAGUGGCAUGAGGGGCGGUGGCACAGCGUAUUGGUUAAAGCAUUAGCCUGUAACGCCUAGGGCACGGGUUCGAUUCCACACAUAAGUAUUCUUCUUCUGGAAAUUCUUCUUUCCAUGAUAUUUAUUCAAUGGUUCGAGGAUAAGGAAGAAGUUGUGAAACAGUAACUGGAAUUAUAUAUAUUCAUUGACAAAAUAACGUUGUAAAGUCACACAAAAAAUGUGAAAAACAAUUAAUCUACCGAACCAGUAAUGUGAGGUUUGGCUUUGACCAAUGGGAUCUGUUUAGGCACUUAUUCGAGACUGAUUAUUCUCUAGCCUUGACGUGUUAUAUGAAUGGAAAGCCCUUUGAAUGGGAAAAAGUGGAAUAAAUUAAUCAACAUAUGGUUAGUGCAGUUUGAUUCUGUACUUCAGACUGUGUGACUUUCUGCCUUCACAAUCUUCCAGUUCAUCUUUCUAUUGGUAUGAAAAAAUCCCUUAUAUUUUAUAACAUGAAUCACCGGGCUAUUUUGUAUUGUAUUAUCAUUUGUAUUAUGAAUAAACCAUAUAAAGCACA